GCGGAAUCCGAAUUUUUCGGGCACGCCUGGAAAGCGUGUAUUCCCCUAAAGGGAAUCGGGGGUUCGAAUCCCCCUCUUUCCGCU
rnacentral:tRNA from 1 species